GAGGAAGGGAAGGCUCAAACAGUCAGGUAUCAGCACACGCCACCUCUAUAUACACCGCACCUCUAUACACACCACCUCUAUACACACUAUACACACCACACCUCUAUACACACUAUACACACCACACCUCUAUAUACACCACCUCUAUACACACCACACCUCUAUAUACACCACCUCUAUACACACUAUACACACCACACCUCUAUACACACUAUACACACCACACCUCUAUAUACACCACACCUCUAUACACACCACACCUCUAUAUACACCACCUCUAUACACACUAUACACACCACACCUCUAUAUACACACUAUACACACCACCACCUCUAUAUACACCACCUCUAUAUACACCACCUCUAUAUACACCACCUCUAUACACACUAUACACACCACACCUCUAUACACACCACCUCUAUACACACCACCUCUAUAUACACCACCUCUAUACACACCACCUCUAUACACACCACCUCUAUACACACCACACCUCUAUAUACACCACCUCUAUACACACUAUACACACCACACCUCUAUACACACUAUACACACCACACCUCUAUAUACACCACCUCUAUACACACCACAUCUCUAUAUACACCACCUCUAUAUACACCACCUCUAUACACACCGCACCUCUAUACACACCACACCUCUAUACACACCACACCUCUAUAUACACCACCUCUAUAUACACCACCUCUAUAUACACCACACCUAUACACACCACACCUCUAUAUACACCACCUCUAUACACACCACACCUCUAUAUACACCACCUCUAUAUACACCACCUCUAUAUACACCACCUCUAUACACACCACAUCUCUAUAUACACCACCUCUAUAUACACCACCUCUAUACACACCACCUCUAUAUACACCACCUCUAUACACACCGCACCUCUAUACACACCACACCUCUAUACACACCACACCUCUAUAUACACCACCUCUAUACACACCGCACCUCUAUACACACCACACCUCUAUAUACACCACCUCUAUAUACACCACCUCUAUACACACCGCACCUCUAUACACACCACACCUCUAUAUACACCACCUCUAUAUACACCACCUCUAUACACACCGCACCUCUAUACACACCACACCUCUAUAUACACCACCCUCUAUAUACACCACCUCUAUAUACACCACCUCUAUACACACCACACCUUUAUAUACACCACCUCUAUACACACCACACCUCUAUAUACACCACCUCUAUAUACACCACCUCUAUAUACACCACCUCUAUACACACCGCACCUCUAUACACACCACAUCUCUAUAUACACCACCUCCAUAUACACCACCUCUAUACACACCGCACCUCUAUACACACCACACCUCUAUAUACACCACCUCUAUAUACACCACCUCUAUAUACACCACCUCUAUACACACCACACCUCUAUAUACACCACCUCUAUACACACCACACCUCUAUAUACACCACCUCUAUAUACACCACCUCUAUAUACACCACCUCUAUACACACCGCACCUCUAUACACACCACACCUCUAUAUACACAACCUCUAUAUACACCACCUCUAUACACACCGCACCUCUAUACACACCGCACUUCUAUAUACACCACCUCUAUAUACACCACCUCUAUAUACACAACCUCUAUAUACACCACCUCUAUAUACACCACCUCUAUAUACACCGCACCUCUAUACACACCACACCUCUAUAUACACCACCUCUAUAUACACACCACACCUCUAUACACACCACCUCUAUAUACACCACCUCUAUACACACCACACCUCUAUAUACACCACCUCUAUACACACUAUACACACCACACCUCUAUACACACUAUACACACCACACCUCUAUAUACACCACCUCUAUACACACCACAUCUCUAUAUACACCACCUCUAUAUACACCACCUCUAUACACACCGCACCUCUAUACACACCACACCUCUAUACCGCACACCCUCUAGAUACACCACCUCAUAUAACACCACCUCUAUUAUACAACCGCAACCUCUAUACAACACCACCUCUAUACACACUAUACACAACACACCUCUAUACACACUAUACACACCACACCUAAAUAUACACCACCUCUAUACACACCACACCUCUAUAUACACCACCUCUAUACACACUAUACACAACCACACCUCUAUACACACUAUACACACCACACCUCUAUAUACACCGCACCUCUAUACACACCACACCUCUAUAUACACGCAACCUCUAUACACCACCUCUAUACACACCACACCUCUAUACACACUAUACACACCACACCUCUAUAUACACCACCUCUAUACACACCACACCUCUAUAUACACCACCUCUAUAUACACCACCUCUAUACACACCGCACCUCUAUAUACACCACCUCUAUACACACUAUACACACCACCUCUAUACACACCACACCUCUAUAUACACCACCUCUAUACACACUAUACACACCACACCUCUAUACACACUAUACACACCACACCUCUAUAUACACCACCUCUAUACACACCACAUCUCUAUAUACACCACCUCUAUAUACACCACCUCUAUACACACCGCACCUCUAUACACACCACACCUCUAUACACACCACACCUCUAUAUACACCCCUCUAUAUACACCACCUCUAUAUACACCACACCUAUACACACCACACCUCUAUAUACACCACCUCUAUACACACCACACCUCUAUAUACACCACCUCUAUAUACACCACCUCUAUAUACACCACCUCUAUACACACCGCACCUCUAUACACACCACAUCUCUAUAUACACCACACCUCUAUAUACACCACCUCUAUAUACACCACCUCUAUAUACACCACACCUCUAUAUACACCACCUCUAUAUACACCACCUCUAUACACACCGCACCUCUAUACACACCACACCUCUAUAUACACCACCUCUAUAUACACCACCUCUAUACACACCACACCUCUAUAUACACCACCUCUAUACACACCUCACCUCUAUAUACACCACCUCUAUAUACACCACCUCUAUACACACCGCACCUCUAUACACACCACAUCUCUAUAUACACCACCUCUAUAUACACCACCUGUAUACACACCGCACCUCUAUACACACCGCACUUCUAUAUACACCACCUCUAUAUACACCACCUCUAUAUACACAACCUCUAUAUACACCACCCCUCUAUACACCACCUCUAUAUACACCGCACCUCUAUACACCCACACCUCUAUAUACACCACCUCUAUACACACCACACCUCUAUACACACCACCUCUAUAUACACCACCCUCUAUAUACCCCACCUCUAUACACACCACCUCUAUACACACCACCUCUAUAUACACCACCUCUAUACACCUCUAUAUAUACCACCUCUAUACACACCACCUCUAUAUACACCACCUCUAUACACACCACACCUCUAUACACACCACCUCUAUACACCACACUUCUAUAUACCUACUCACAUUGGCUCUUUCAAAUCAUCUUAA
ensembl:lncRNA